rnacentral:rRNA from 1 species
UACGAAGGGGGUUAGCGUUGCUCGGAAUCACUGGGCGUAAAGCGCACGUAGGCGGCUUUUUAAGUCAGGGGUGAAAUCCUGGAGCUCAACUCCAGAACUGCCUUUGAUACUGAGAAGCUUGAGUCCGGGAGAGGUGAGUGGAACUGCGAGUGUAGAGGUGAAAUUCGUAGAUAUUCGCAAGAACACCAGUGGCGAAGGCGGCUCACUGGCCCGGUACUGACGCUGAGGUGCGAAAGCGUGGGGAGCAAACAGG